rnacentral:tRNA from 1 species
UACUGGUUAGCUCAGGUGGUACAGCGGUUCACUCGAAAUGGAGAGGCCCCAGGUUCGAUACCCGGACCAGGCA